rnacentral:tRNA from 1 species
GCCGCUGUAGCUCAGUUGGUAGAGCGAGGCAUUCGUAAUGCCUAGGUCGGGAGUUCGAGUCUCCCCGGCGGCU